AGUGUGUGUGCGUCGGAUGGGGUGGUACCUGGUAAAGAGCUGGCUUUCAGGAUCUCAAGCAUUUUUCUGAGAGGAUUCCCAAACAUGAAUGCAGCAGGACAACUG